GCCCCUGGCACCGGCGCUGCGAGCCCGAGACCCCUCCGGUGGCCGGGCUCCCUGGCGACCCCACGAUGGCCGGUCUCGCGCCGCGGGUCGAAUACCUGGCGGGCUUCUGCUGCCCGCUCGGGGGCCUGGCGGCGGGCAAGCCUCGCGUGCUGUGCCACGGGGCGGAGGUCUUCCUGUCCACCGGGAGCGAGCUGGUCUAUGUCUACGACCGGGAGGGGCGGCUGCUGAUCGCCGUGUACAAGUUUCCCGGUCAGGUGUGGCACCUGGAGCUCCUGGCCCUUCGCAGGGCGCUCUACGUUCUGUGCGCCCGGAGUGGCAUCUACUGCUUGUCUUUGGACCAGGCGAGCAGGUCUGUGAGCCGGGAUGACAAGGAUGACAGGGACGACCAGGACAGUGAGGAUGGGCAGGUCGAUGAGCUCCCUGUCCCUGUGAUCCCCGUGCACCCAGACACCUGUGUGCUCCCCAGUGCCACACUGCAUGCCUUCACUGUGCUCGAUGACGUGCUCAUCACCCUGUCACGGGGCCUCACCCAGUGGAAGGUGCAGCUGUUUGAGUGUCCGUGUCCAGGGGAGGACCCUAGGCCCGGAGGCCAGAUUGGCGAGGUGGAGUUGUCCACCUGCACCCCCCCAGCUGGGAGCCUGGAGGAGCCCACAGCCCCCCGCUUCCUCCCAGUGCUGUGCUGUGUGUCACCACCAGGCUCCAGGGCCCCACAUGGCCACCCGUGGGGCUCUGGGGGCAUCACGCUGGAGGGGGCCCUCUUUGGGCUACUCUUUGGAUCCGAUGCCUCCCUCCUGGAGUCGCCCGUGAUCGUCUGCGGUCUCCCCGAUGGCCAGCUCUGCUGUGUGGUCCUCAAGACCCUGGUCACCUCCAGGUCUGCCCCUGGUGAUCCGAAGGCCCUUGUCAAGAUCCUCCAUCACCUGGAAGAGCCUGUCAUCUUCAUUGGAGGCUUGAGGACAGAGCCGCUGUCCGAGGAUGUGGAGGACGUGUACUGUGACUGCCUGGUGGCACUUGGUCACCAUGGCCGGACACUGGCCAUCAAGGCCAGCUGGGACGAGGCAGGGCAUCUGGUGCCAGAGCUGCGGGAGUACAGCCUCCCGGGGCCUGUGCUCUGUGCGGCCCGCGGCAGGGGCGGCCGUGUGUACCACAGCACCCCCUCGGACCUCUGUGUAGUGGACCUGGCUCAGGAGGUCUCCCCCUGGGACCUCACGCAGCGUGACGGGGCCCCAGGAGGCCUGCCCUCUCUGCUGUGUCCAGCCAGCUUGAGUGUCUGCAGCGUCGUCACCCUCUCUGUGUCAUCUAGGGCGCCUGAAGGGGGUGCUGAGCUCCUGGCCCUGUCUGCCAAAGGCCGGCUGAUGACCUGCAGCCUGGACCCGCACUCUGAGACGCCUCACCCCACCAGAGUGACCUCGGCGAAUGCUGGCCAAAAAAUUAAGGAGUUGCUGUCUGGAAUUGGCACUGUCUCUGAGAGAGUGUCUUCUCUGAAGAAGGCGGUUGACCAGCGGGACAAGGCCCUGACCUGCCUCAACGAAGCCAUGAACGUGAGCUGCGCCCUGCUGUCGAGCCGGGAGGGUCCCAGGCCCAUCUCCUGCACCAUCAGCACCUCCUGGAGCCGCCUGCAGCUGCAGGACGUGCUGACAGCUACCUGCCUGCUGGAGAACAGCAGCGGCUUCAGCCUGGACCGGGGCUGGGCCCUGUGCGUCCAGGUGCUCCGCAGCUCCCGGGCCUUAGACCUGGACUCGGCUGUCUCGGCCAUCACCUACACCAUCCCUGUGGACCAGCUUGGCCCUGGCGGUCAGCGUGAGGUGACGCUGCCUCUGGGCCCGGGAGAGGACGGUGCGCUUGACCUGCCCGUGACCGUGUCCUGCGCACUCUUCUACAGCCUCAGGGAGGUCGUGGGUGGGGCCCUUGCCCUCACGGACCCUUUCAAGGACCCCUCUUCGAAUGAAUGCACCCCUGACGUCCUGCCUGAGCAGGACGGCGUGUGCCUGCCCCUGAGCGAGCACACGGUGGACAUGCUGCAGGGCCUGCGCUUCCCCGGCCUGGCUGCACCCCACACGCAGGCCCUGGGCCCACUCAGCCCUGCCAGAGACCCCAUCCACACCUUCCUGGAAACUUGCUGCGGGCCAGUCAGCCAGCCUGCAGGACCAGCGUCCCUGCGGGCCAAGUACCUGCCCCCGUCAGUGGCCACCGUCAAGGUGUCGGCAGAGUUGCUCAGGGCCGCCUUAGGGGACAAUCACGCAGGCGUGUCCCUGUGUUCUGCCACCCUGCAGUGGCUUCUUGCCGAGAAUGCCGUCGCGGACAUCGUGAGGGCCCAAGCACUGUCCUCCAUCCAGGGAGUGGCCCCAGAUGGCACUGAUGUCCACCUCAUCGUCCGCGAGGUGGCUGUGACCGACCUGUGCCCAGCAGGGCCCAUCCAGGCCAUGGAGAUCCAGGUGGAGAGCUCCUCUCUGGCCAACAUGUGCAGGGCACACCACGCCAUCAUCGGGCGUUUGCAGGUCUGUCGGUCAUCAUGGGCUUGUUGGGGAAGUCUCUGUGGGGUGGUGGGGACACAGGACCCUGGUGGUCUGUGGCUUCCUGCCCGGGGUUGCAGGUAAGCUGUGGGCGGUUGGGAGGUGGGUGGGGGACUUGCUGCUCACCCUCCUGGCAGUAGCUCCCAGUGGCCUGUGAGCACACGUGGUUAAAGGGAGACAGUCCACUGGAGACCAGCGUGAGAUUUCUUCUACACUUGCAUGGAGAAGCCAGGCUCGGGCCCUGGGACCAGGUGUCUGCUCGUCUGGGCCUCCACGUCUUCGCCAAGAAAGCGCGAGUUGGCAGCCAGCCCCUCCCAUACACACAGCUCCAGGGGCCCUUCCUGCUGCUUCACUGCCAUGCGCGGCUACUGGGGCUGCAACCCCAGGAUCUGAGGGGAGGUCUUUGUGUUCCUGAGGGAAGCCUGUCAGCUGGUGCCCUUGGCAGGCUGGGCACAGGGUCAGGUGGCCCAUCUCCUGCCUGUUCUGAGUGUGUGCAGCCUCGGCUGCGCAGAGGGGUCCGAGGUGGCAGCUAUCAACAACGCUUUCUCUUAAACAUGGGCUCUGUGUCAGCCUCACCUGGGAACUUGGUGCACGUCCCCAGGCCCCACCCCAGACCCCAAGAGUCGGAGAACCUGCAGUCCAAGCUCUGCCAGGGAUCCGAGGCUGCUGUUCUAGACCUACCAGUGCACCCAGGCGAGCCUGGGGGCCAAGCCAUGACCAGAGGUCCCCCUCAGGCACUACUGUGACGGCCCUGCUGUGGCACAUCCAUGGCUUCACUCCCGGGCUCAGGAGUCCCCCGUCCCUAGAGCAGAACUCCCACGCCUGCAUUUCUCUCCCCCAGGGGGCGCCCCGUGUUGCUCUUGCCGGGCCUGAAACAAGCAGGGCUGUCUCCAGACCCGCUGAGCGCGGCAGUUGAGAGGUGGACAGUUAGUGAGAAGCCGGGGGAGGAGCAUACCGACCAGACUUCCAGCAAGAAGGGGAGUUAGUGUCCUGGGGCUGCGGGAACAAAGUGCCGCAGAUGGGACACAGUGCGUUCACUUCGGAGACAGGGAUCCAGGUGUCCGCAGGGUGGUUCCUUCUGAGGCCUCUUUUCUGGGCGCGUGGAUGGCCGACUCCUCCCUAUGUCCUCAUAUGGUCAUCCCUCUGCAUAUCCGUGUCCUGAUCUUUUCUUAGAAGGACACCAGUCCUAUGGGAGUAAAGCCAACCCACGUGACCUCGUUUUAACUUUAUCUGUGAAGACCCUCUCUCCAAACACAAUCACCGGGGGUGCUGGGAGCUGGGGCUUCCAAGUGUGAAUUUGGGAGGCAUGCUUCAGCCCCCAGUGGAACGCUGGGGACACUCCCUUGAUGGGAAUCUUCUUGUGGGCUGCAGACCUCUGUCCUCCGUCUGCUGACACUAUGCUUGUGGAAUGGGAGUGUUCUCGUGACAACUGGCGUUCAUUCACCUGGCCGCUUGGAAUCUGGGGGGCCUUGUCAGGUGUGCAGCUUCUGCCACUGGCAGCAUCUCCUGCUGCCCCUUGGGGUGUCGGGGUCUCUUCUCAGUGCUCUGCCCUGGAGGCCAGCGGGAGCCUUGCUUCCUGCAUCCGUCUGCAAGCUUGGGUUCAGCCCUGAGAGCCGGCCAGGCUGCCUCCAGAAAGCAGGACGUGAAGCAGCUCUUUCAUGGGCCAAGAUAGGAACAGCGGUGCCAAGGCCUGAGGCCAAGGAUGGGGAAGUGGUGUCGGUAGGAGAGGCUGGUCAUGGAGCAGGCUGCCCGGGGCUCCAGCCCGCCUGACCUCCGCCUGCAGUAUCUCCACCAGAUCCAGGCCAACCAUGAGACGCUGCUGCGGGAGGUGCAGACCCUGCGG